CUCACGGGUUAAUUCCAUGGCGGUGUCCGCAGAGCCCCCCGGGGUCCUCGCGGUUUGACCCCUCAGGUCCGUCUAUUAAUUGGAAACGAAGCUCUUUUGUGGAUCUCCUGCACUUAUCCGCCCGGUGGAGCCACAGUAAAGGAAAUGUAUUGAAAUUUCCUGGAAGGCCGUCCCAUGAAAAGCCGAGGUUUCUUCAAAAGAAGUCAAGUUUUGGGACUACAGCCAGCUAGGUCUACUGCUCUGGCGCGACACAAGACAGGAAGUUGUCAUGAAAGAAUGGGUGACCAACUGUGAGGAAGCCGAGGCAGGAGCCACUGCCGAGGAUGGGAUCAUUGUUUCAGAGUUUACAGGCACCCAGUGACGAGAGCCUUAUCACUUUGAUGAUAAUUACUGCAAUCCUUCAUGAUGACCACAGGAACCUCAUCACUGGGGUCUCACAAUUUACUC